GUGGGGAAUUUUGCGCAAUGGGGGAAACCCUGACGCAGCAACGCCGCGUGGAGGAUGACGUAUCUUGGUAUGUAAACUCCUUUCGAUCGGGACGAUAAUGACGGUACCGAGAGAAGAAGCCCCGGCUAACUUCGUGCCAGCAGCCGCGGUAAUACGAGGGGGGCAAGCGUUGUUCGGAAUUAUUGGGCGUAAAGGGCGCGUAGGCGGUUUGACAAGUUUGGUGUGAAAUCUAUGGGCUCAACCCAUAGCCUGCAUCGAAAACUGUCGGGCUUGAGUAUGGGAGAGGUGAGUGGAAUUUCCGGUGUAGCGGUGAAAUGCGUAGAUAUCGGAAGGAACACCUGAGGCGAAAGCGGCUCACUGGACCAUAACUGACGCUGAGGCGCGAAAGCUAGGGGAGCAAACAGG
rnacentral:rRNA from 1 species